UUGCUCUGUCUUCAUCACAGCGACAGUUGAUGACAAUGCGGGCUGAAGGCGCAGUGACCAGCGUCCGCCGCCAGGGGGAGCCGUGAGGCAGAGCGCGCACCUCAAACAACUCGAGCCUCCCUACAUAGGCGCACUACAUAGGGCACGAAGUAAUGGUUUCUAAACCCUUCAUAGUGCACUAUAUAUCCACUUCGGAGCUUUUAGGGAUACAAGCAAGCCCUACGUUUAGUAAGAGUGAGCUGGGGUUGGUGGUGUAAUAUAGAGUUAUUGCUAUAUGUGGUAAUGGACAUUGUACUACAGCGUCAGAGUGAAGAGGAAAUAACAGCUCAGUGUUUUCUGAACAAGACAACUGUGUGACGUAGUUUCUUGAACAAUCAGCACCAUGUGAAAUUAAAUGGAUGAAAUGGAAAUCAGUCAGAAUGCUGAAUAUAAUGCAAAGAGUUUUUCUUCUCGAACAUCCUCUUCUGGGGGACUCGGCAGUGGAGCCCUCACUCUGCUGCUCUCCAUGAUCCCUUCACCAUCAGGAGUGUGUGAAAGAGGACUAAGUUUCUGACAGGAUAGCACAGAAACCGGAGUCAGCAAAAAACUGCAACCCCUGCAAAAAGCCUGUCCUCGUGACCCUCAGUACUUUGAAUCCAGCAUAACUGCCAUCAUUGCUGUGCUCGUUAAAUAUUUCCUUGUGCUACAGUGUAAUUAACUCCGUCUUCAUGCUGAAGUGAGGCGGUAAGGAGGUGUGUGGUGGCAGAUGACGAUGUUUAAUAAUAUAAUAUAAUUAUAUAUCAGGAAUUUUAAUUCAGAUACUACUCACUGGACUAAAUACAGUACAAAGUGUACCUUA